GAUGAACGCUAGCUAUAGGCUUAACACAUGCAAGUCGAGGGGAAACGGCAUUAUGUGCUUGCACAUUUUGGACGUCGACCGGCGCACGGGUGAGUAUCGCGUAUCCAACCUGCCCUUUACUUGGGGAUACCCCGUUGAAAGACGGCCUAAUACCCGAUGUAAUUCAUUGAUGGCAUCAGAUAUGAAUAAAAGAUUUAUCGGUAAAGGAUGGGGAUGCGUCUGAUUAGCUUGUUGGUGAGGUAAAGGCUCACCAAGGCGACGAUCAGUAGGGGUUCUGAGAGGAAGGUCCCCCACAUUGGAACUGAGACACGGUCCAAACUCCUACGGGAGGCAGCAGUGAGGAAUAUUGGUCAAUGGGCGCAAGCCUGAACCAGCCAAGUAGCGUGCAGGAAGACGGCCCUAUGGGUUGUAAACCGCUUUUAUACGAGAAUAAUUUGAUGCACGUGUGCGUUAUUGCAUGUAUCGUAUGAAUAAGGACCGGCUAAUUCCGUGCCAGCAGCCGCGGUAAUACGGAAGGUCCAAGCGUUAUCCGGAUUUAUUGGGUUUAAAGGGAGUGUAGGCGGUUUGUUAAGCGUGUUGUGAAAUUUAGGUGCUCAACAUUUAACUUGCAGCGCGAACUGUCGGACUUGAGUACACGCAACGUAUGCGGAAUUCAUGGUGUAGCGGUGAAAUGCUUAGAUAUCAUGAAGAACUCCGAUUGCGAAGGCAGCAUACGGGAGUGUAACUGACGCUUAAGCUCGAAGGUGCGGGUAUCGAACAGG
rnacentral:rRNA from 1 species